GGGGAAUAUUGCGCAAUGGGGGGAACCCUGACGCAGCCAUGCCGCGUGAAUGAAGAAGGCCUUAGGGUUGUAAAGUUCUUUCGGUAUUGAGGAAGGUUGAUGUGUUAAUAGCACAUCAAAUUGACGUUAAAUACAGAAGGAGCACCGGCUAACUCCGUGCCAGCAGCCGCGGUAAUACGGAGGGUGCGAGCGUUAAUCGGAAUAACUGGGCGUAAAGGGCACGCAGGCGGUUAUUUAAGUGAGGUGUGAAAGCCCCGGGCUUAACCUGGGAAUUGCAUUUCAGACUGGGUAACUAGAGUACUUUAGGGAGGGGUAGAAUUCCACGUGUAGCGGUGAAAUGCGUAGAGAUGUGGAGGAAUACCGAAGGCGAAGGCAGCCCCUUGGGAAUGUACUGACGCUCAUGUGCGAAAGCGUGGGGAGCAAACAGGAUUAGAUACCCUGGUAGUCCACGCUGUAAACGCUGUCGAUUUGGGGGUUGGGGCUUAACUCUGGCGCCCGUAGCUAACGUGAUAAAUCGACCGCCUGGGGAGUACGGCCGCAAGGUUA
rnacentral:rRNA from 1 species